UUUGGGUUUUACUUAUUGGGGUUUUAAAUUUGAUUAUGGUUUAGUGUAAAGUUAUGAUGAUGUUAUCUAGUUUUGAUUCAUAGAGUGGGCAAUGUAAUUUUACCCCGGCAGUGAGUCGUUUGUAUAAAUUUUGUUCCAGAAUAAUCGGCUAGACUUUAUAAACUUGUACUCGAAUUGAGGUUAAACCUGGACAAGUAGUGGUUGCUUUUGACUUUAGGGUAAAAUUAGAAGUUAUUAGUGUUUGUGUCUUGUGUUUUUAGAUUUGUUGAACAAGCCAGAUUAGUACCUGGUUAGACAAAAGUUAAAAGAGCAGGAGUAAAGUUAUGUUUAAACUGUAAGAAUAUUGGCAGGUCUUUAAAUUAUCUUUGGAGGCUGAGUAGUAAUUGAGAGCCCUCAUUAUCGGCCCGCACUGUAGGCGCAUGUAUGAUCGUUUAUCUUAUCCUUAGGGGUUGUGAUGUUAGUUUAUUUACUGUAAAAGUAGAUAUAUACUUGGUUGAUGUGCGGGAUUUAAUUUGGCCUACAAUAUUUUAUAAUGUGGAUUUUAAUUGUAGUGGUUAUUUGAAACUGUAAAAGACAGUAAAUUUCUUUUUAUGGGAAAUUGAAGUUUAUUUAAAGACGGUACAAAUCAUCCAUCAAUUGCCUAAAGGGGAGUAAGUUGUAGUAAAGUAGAGGUAGGGGAACCUGUCUCUAAUAAUU
rnacentral:ncRNA from 1 species